GAUGAACGCUGGCGGCGUGCCUAAUACAUGCAAGUCGAGCGAACGGACGAGAAGCUUGCUUCUCUGAUGUUAGCGGCGGACGGGUGAGUAACACGUGGAUAACCUACCUAUAAGACUGGGAUAACUUCGGGAAACCGGAGCUAAUACCGGAUAAUAUUUUGAACCGCAUGGUUCAAAAGUGAAAGACGGUCUUGCUGUCACUUAUAGAUGGAUCCGCGCUGCAUUAGCUAGUUGUUAAGGUAACGGCUUACCAAGGCAACUAGGCAUAGCCGACCUGAGGGAGUGGUAGGCGACCCUGGAACGGAGACAGGCUCCAGGCUACUGAGAGACGCAGCAGUAGGCAAUCGUCCGCAGAGGGCGAGAGCCUGACGGAGCAGCGGCGAGUGAGUGAUGAAGGUCUUCGGAUCGUAAAGCUCUGUUAUUAGGGAAGAACAGAUGUGUAAGUAAAUGUGCACAGCUUGACGGUACCUAAUAAGAAAGCCACGGCUAACUACGUG
rnacentral:rRNA from 1 species